GCCCGUGUAGCUCAGCGGUAGAGCACACCCUUGGUAAGGGUGAGGUCACGAGUUCAAGUCUCGUCACGGGCUUCA
rnacentral:tRNA from 2 species